rnacentral:rRNA from 1 species
UACGAAGGGUGCAAGCGUUACUCGGAAUUACUGGGCGUAAAGCGUGCGUAGGUGGUCUGUUAAGUCUGAUGUGAAAGCCCUGGGCUCAACCUGGGAAUUGCAUUGGAUACUGGCAGGCUAGAGUGCGGUAGAGGAUGGCGGAAUUCCCGGUGUAGCAGUGAAAUGCGCAGAUAUCGGGAAGAACACCUAUGGCGAAGGCAGCUCUCUGGGACGGUACUGACGCUGAGACGCGAAAGCGUGGGGAGCGAACAGG